rnacentral:rRNA from 1 species
GUUAGGAAUAUUGGACAAUGGGCGAAAGCCUGAUCCAGCCAUGCCGCGUGAACGAUGAAGGCCUUCGGGUUGUAAAGUUCUUUAGCCGAUGAUUAUAAUGACUGUAGUCGGAAAAUAAGCCCCGGCUAACUUCGUGCCAGCAGCCGUGGUAAUACGAAGGGGGCGAGCGUUAUUCGGAAUCACUGGGCGUAAAGCGUGCGUAGGCGGUUUUGUAAGUUAGGAGUGAAAGCCCAGGGCUCAACCUUGGAAUUGCUCUUAAAACUGCAAGGCUCGAAUCUCGGAGAGGAUAGCGGAAUUUCCAGUGUAGCAGUGAAAUGCGUAGAUAUUGGAGGGAACACCAGUGGCGUAAGCGGCUAUCUGGACGAGUAUUGACGCUGAGGCACGAAAGCGUGGGGAUCAAACAGGAUUAGAUACCCCGGUAGUCC